AGGCAGCAGAGACUCUGUUCUCCUCGUUUGGAUUAAUUCUGAUAUAAUAACUCUUGGUUUAUUUAUCGGUGCAGCAGCAGAACCUUUUCCACAGACAGUUUUCCUGCCCGUUGGCUUGUUUUAACCAGUUUUCUACCUUCGGCUGAUUCUACCAGCAGACACUGAAAGGACUCUGAUAGUUCGAGUGAAAGCAGCAGUUCCUCCUUAAGGUCAGAGAUUGCAGCAUCUGAGGGCCUCUUCAAAAGAAGACGUAGUUGAUGAAGGCAUUCUGGAGCAGGACCAGAAAGACCACAACCAAGCAGCCUUGAGAUCUUAGGCAGCGUCUCUCUCGGCCACCAACCACUGGAACACAUCUGGAACAAAGUUCUGCCGGGCCAGCUCAACUUCCCCUCAGAAGAAGUGCUGCCACCUGCCAGAUGAAGGAGCCUUUUGAGAGGCAGCUGGCAUCGUGAUUGGACUGUACUUUGGUCUGUUCCAAUCCAGCUUCAGCUCCAGAGACGGCAGGCGGGACGAGUCAACGGAGGCCAGGUGGACGGAGGCAUGCAGCUGAGUCGAAAAAAAAUGUGAUUUUUAACAUGUUGUAAAAACGUGUCAUAUGAUGAAAUAAUGUAAAGGAGGCUGUGAAAAACACUCCAGAGAGAUUUUCUUUGAAAAAAAAAAAUCAUCAUGAAUUUUGGCGCAAAAAAACGCCAUAGUAUAUACUAUGUUGAAAAAUUUGAUUUUUCAACAUGUUGUGAAAACAUGCCGUAUGAUGAAAUAAUGUAAAGCAGGCUGUGAAAAACACUCCAGAAAGGUUUUCUUUGAAAAAAAAAUCAUCAUGAAUUGUGGCGCAAAAAAAAACUCCAUAGUAUACUAUGUCGAAAAAUGUCGUUUUUCAACAUGUUGUGAAAACAUGCCAUAUGAUGAAAUAAUGUAAAAGAGGCCGUGAAACACACUCCAGAAAGGUUUUCUUUGAAAAAAAAUCAACAUGAAUUUUGGCGCAAAAAAAAACGCCAUAGUAUACUAUGUCGAAAAAAAAUGCGAUUUUUCAAGAUAUUGUAAAAACGUGCCAUAUGAUGAAAUAAUGUAAAGGAGACCAUGAAAAACACUGGUAAGGUUCCCGUUGACAAAAAAAUUAUCAUGAAUUUUGGCGCAAAAAAACGCCAUAGUAUACUAUGUCGAAAAAAAAAUGCGAUUUUUCAACAUGUUGUAAAAACGUGCCAUAUGAUGAAAUAAUGUCAAGGAGGCCGUGAAAAACACUCCAGAAAGGUUUUCUUUGAAAAAAAAUCAUCAUGAAUUUUGGCGCAAAAAAACGCCAUAGUAUAUACUAUGUCGAAAAAUGUCAUUUUUCAACACUAAAUCUUAUUGAAAAAUAUGUUUUACUGAAGUCCACCUCUUUCAGCCAUCUCUACCCCUCAUUAGAUACCACUCUAAGGUACAUUAUACAAAAAAAAAUCCAGUAGAUGUCAGUGUUUUGAAAUAGCAUGCAGAGCAAGUUACUCUGCUCACAGGAAGUUAGCACGAGCAAAAUCACUCCUCGCAUGAGGACUCUGUUUGCUGUGAUUUUCAAAGGUGAAGUAAUACUUUUGACAUAUUAUGGUGCCUAAGGAGUUGCUGAACACAAAUGUGUCAUUUGAAAUGUAAAAAAAAAAAAAAAAAAAGAUUUGAAAGGGUAAAAUAAUUUUUCUCAACCGUUUGGUAGAGGUCAAUAUUUUAAAAAUUGGUGGGUCUCUUCAUUAAAAAAAACCAUUGAUUGUUGUUAUUAGUGCCCCAAAGAGAUAAGAAAUAUAAAGAAAUAAUUUUUCAUUGCCUUUUUCUUGGUGAGGAUGUUUAAGGGUUAACUUAACAUCUGUAAACAAAACAAAAACGUAUCAACAAAGUUUUCUGUUAGAGUUUGUGUUCUUGUAAGUUUAAAUCCAAGAUUUUAAAUACUUUCAUUUACUGCAAAUUAAUAUUGACUCCAAAUGUCACACUAAUAAUCAUUAUCAGCCUUAAAAACCCACAAAACACCCCUCUAUACUCGACCACACUUAGUACAGUCCGGUUCCCCCUUCUAUAAAUCUGCUUGGAAUCUUCCACUUCCUGUUUGUCAAAGUGGCCUUCUACCUGGACAGGUUUUGUUGGAGCUCAUGCAACAAGCAUUUUGGGUAACUGCACUUUAAUAUAAAUGGAUGAUACUGAAUUAGAGUCUGUUUUAAUGAGACUGAGUUAAGAUGUGUAGCUCUGUCAUUAAAUAGUAAAUUAUUUCCCAGAAUUCACAGAGAAAGGUCUGAAAUGUUUGCUAGGUUAGUGUCCCACAUGUUCUUUGGCUCAGCUAAAGCUAACUCUCUCCAACUUCUGGAUCUCUUGAGUUGCUUGUUUUUAAAAUAUCUUGCUAGAGGUGCUGAAGCUCAGAAAGUCUGAGAUGUUUGUUCAGAAUGAGCUCAUUCUCAAGUCUUAUCUGAACUGUCCUCUUUUGUUUGAACUUGCCCUAAACUUAGGAGUUAAUGACAGAGCAGCACAUUCAGGCUCAGUCUCAUUUAUGUAGCGAUUAAACUUCAGUGUCAUUCAUUGAUGUUAAAGUGCAGUUUUUCAAAUGUUUGUUGCACAUGCUCCCGACCAAACCAGUCCAGGUGGAAGACGAUGUGAAGAGAAAGCUCCAGAGGAUGAAUAUCACACAUUUACGUUGGAAAUAAAUGUCCUUUAAUUAGACAUUGUCAUGCAAAAGUUGGAUUUCCCUUUAAUGAUGUUCAAAUCUUUGUUGAGUGUUUUGUUGAUGUUGGUUUCUAAAUGUUUUUUGACACUCGGCCCCAAAGAUUAAAACCUUUUCCGGCGCACAAGCUGCAACAAUUCACACAUUAUCAACUAUCUUUCUGACUAAACUAAGAUAAAAAGUGAAAAACUGCCUGAUUCCUGCAUCAUGAAUGUAAAUCUUUUUGGUUUUUAUGAUGGUAAACUGAAUAUAUUUGGGUUUGACAUUUUAUAAACCAAAACAAGAAAUGAAUUACUGCAGAAAACAAUCAACAGAUUAAUGGACAAAGAAAAUGUGUUUUCCAACAUAUAUGGCUGAAUUACUCCAACAUUACAAGAUACACACAAUUUGAAUUCAAUUUUAUUUAUAUAACGCCAAAUACAGGUCAAAUUGUCUCAAGACGCUUUAUUUUUAUAUUUUUUUGUCAUAUUUAAAAUAUGACAAAGUAAGAAAUUUAAACCUCUUGACUAAUCCAAUUUAUUACUUGGUUUUUAAGAGACUAAUCGACAACUAAAAUAACUUUCUCCACUAAAACUAAUAAACAUCAGGUCAAAUGGAAGGAACAGUUUUAAAUACUGCAGUCCCACGAUGACAAGAAUAAAGUUUGUCAACAAAAAGUAAAUCUGCUGGUGGAUUCCAUUAAAGUCCUAAUAAAUGAUAAUAAAGUGUGAUACUAAAGAUUUGUGGUGCUAAAAAUCUCCAAGUAAAGAUAUCAAGUUGAGCAUCUGGAUGGAGGUUGAUAAAAGUUGACCUCCCUUCAUUUCUCUGGAACCGACUCCAUGGAUUUUAUGGAUGGUGGUUAAAGCCCUGCUCUUCUAGUGGUCUUCCUUCUAGUCGCUGUGAAAAGUCAGUCCAUCCUGGCCGACUUCAACACCUCUUCAUGACAGCUUGUUCUGCCUCCGACCUCGUGGAAACUCCAGAAACUCGGGAAAACCCAUGGAGACUCGAAGAACUCGUGGAGACUCGAAAAACUCGUCGGGCGGGGGAAGGUGUGGUGGGUGGUGGUGGGCGGUGGGGGAGUAGAGGGGGGAGGCCACCACCCACCUCCCCGCCUACUCUCCGCCCUGACUCCACCCAGACUCCGCCUAGGCCCAGCCCAUGUGGUCACUUCAGGAACUACGAUGCCAAAGGGACGACGAAUUUAUUUCUUUUCAUCUGAUCUGUAGCUCAGUGAGUUAAGGAUUUGCCUAUGGAGCUGCAGGUCGCUGGUUCAAGACCAGACCCUUCUUAAGUUUUAUCAAAAUCCUGACAAAGACAAAGAAAGAAAAGUGCCAGUGGUGGGACUUGAACCUGCGACCUUCCACUUCGUAGUCUAUCCUCUUAACCCCCUGAGCUACUUGCUCAGAUACUAAUUUUUCUUUUUUUUGCGCAUUUAUCAUCUAUUUUUUGUCUCUUUCGGUUUUUUUUUUAACUCGAGUCUCGACUCGACCGUUUUUCUCAGGAGGUUGGACUUCAGCCUUUGUGCUGGAGGGUUGAACCCUCAGUUCCAAGACUUUCCAAAGCCUCCACACCUCCCCAGUCCUCAGGACCUGAGCUUUCACACAGUCUGAGGGCUGAAAUUUUCUAAGUCCCACAGUAGAUCUGUUAGUUUGAACCUUCAGACAGUCCAAGGACUGAAAUCCUCUAAGUUCCUGAGUAGUUCUCUGUUAGUUUGAACCUUCAGACAGUCUGAGGACUGAAAUCUUAAAAGUUUCUCAGUACUUCUCUGUUAGUUUGAACCUUCAGACAGUCUGAGGACUGAAAUUAUCAAAGUUUCUCAGUACUUCUCUGUUAGUUUGAACUUUCUGGUUAACAGAAGCCUUAAAACUUGUGACCAUGAGUCUUCAUUUCACAUUUAGACCAUCCAUCUGAGUUCUUCUCAGACCUUCACCUGUGGGUUUUUUAGAAAUCCUGAACAAACUUUGAUUCUCUUCACUGAACAGUAAAGUUUGUGGAGAUCAAAAGGUAACAUUAGUUUGAUCAAUGCCUUCAACUACUAGUAGACUUUAUCUGGAAAGCAGUUUUCUGAAAUGAGUUCUUAGUAAUUCUGUCCACAAUCAAACCAAGAACAUAGAAAGAGGAAAUGUUUGAAGAAACAACUUGAUGUUUUCAUUUUAGACUAGAAAACGCUUUUAGACCUUUAUCUGUUUUUGCUCUUUUUGAUCGUUUUGUCUCUUCUGUUUAAUUUGAUCUUCUAAAGUCUAACUGGUGUCUUUUCAAAUGUUUUUUCUUUAGUUUGCUUCUUCUUAAACAUUUAGUUUUGCUCUUUUCUCACCUUUUAUUCUUUUCUAAUGUCUGAUUUGAUUUUGAAAUGUUUUGUCUUUUUAAUGUUUAAUUGUUUUUUCAAAUGUUUUAUCGGCUUGUUUGAAUUUUUUUCUUUCCCAAUAUUUAAUUUUUUGAUUAAAUCUUUAAGGUUUUUCUUUUUAAA